rnacentral:lncRNA from 1 species
CUUGAUUCCUCUGGCACUCCGCUUCUCUGGCAUUUUGGCCUCUUUCCCACGAGCUGGUCCCUGCCAUUGAACUACGCCCUCCCAGGCGACCAAACGACACAAAAACAAGGAAAAAGACUCGAUCUAGACUUAAAACACACACAAAAAUAGAGCACAAACCUGGGCUCAUCACACGCACACACUUUAAACACGAUUGUCCUCAAGCGUGCAUGCAUGAUUUUGCCCAAGAACAGACACGGACGAAAAAAAAACACACAAAACAUAAAAAAAAAUGAAAACACACAGCAUGCUAUACUCUCUCAGUCCAACAGUAAAAUGAAGAUUAAAAGAAACAAAAAGUAGCAUGAUCAAACAAUCAAAAAUGCCAUCAGUUGAGUCAAGAUCGGGUUCUGGGCAUAAGGAUGUUCCUCCCCUUUCACUCUUUCUCUCAAGUGUUUAGGCUCGUGUUUACACUCCGGACAUCUUGAUUGGGUUCUGAACAUAAGCUUGCCUAUCUUCUAAUGUCUUCCCCUUUAGUCAAAGUCCUAGGCGCAUCUCAUUAGGUCUUUCAUGGGUUGUAAUGUGGCUCAAGGCAUAAGGUGAGAAUUUUUGGUACGAGGCUAAGGUCAUUCUGAACUUCAUUCUGGGCAACUGACUUCCCAGAUUCUUUUGAUCCUUGCCUAUUCUUGCGGGCUUAAGCACAUUUUUCCCUUUAUUCUUCCUCUCUUUUUUUUUCUUUUUCUCCUUCUUUUUUUUAUUUCUUUUUACUUUUCUGGACUUUGUCUGUUUUGGGAUUUAGAUGUCCCAUUUUGCAAUUUCUUUGCACUAGUCCUGCCCAUCGGAUCCACUACACUAUCUCCCUUUCUUUUGCCCUUAAGUUCAGUUUUGACCGGGAUGGCUCAAAUCUAGGCAAAUUUAUAAGUGAAUUCAAAAGAAUUAUUAAGCUCAAAAGGGGUUGCAAGUGAUAGAUGUAGGGUUGGUCAGUUUGGCUCAGUGGGCUGAAGAAAGAAUUUGCCUAAAUCAUUCAACACACCUAGACUAUGUACACAGGGU